AUUGAACGCUGGCGGCAUGCCUUACACAUGCAAGUCGAACGGUAACAGGUCUUCGGAUGCUGACGAGAGGCGAACGGGUGAGUAACACAUCGAAACGUGCCCGAGAGUGGGGGAUGACGAGGCGAAAGCUUUGCUAAUACCGCAUACGAUCUCAGGAUGAAAGCAGGGGACCGCAAGGCCUUGCGCUCACGGAGCGGCCGAUGGCAGAUUAGGGAGUUGGUGGGAUAAAAGCUUACCAAGCCGACGAUCUGUAGCUGGUCUGAGAGGACGACCCGCCGCACUGGGACUGAGACGCGGCCCAGACGCCUACGGGAGGCAGCAGUGGGGAAUUUUGGACAAGGGGCGCAAGCCUGAUCCAGCCAUGCAGCGUGCAGGAUGGAGGCCUUCGGGUUGUAAACCGCUUUUGUCAGGGAAGAAACGAGUUUCUCUAAUACAGAGACUUAAUGACGGUACCUGAAGAAUAAGCACCGGCUAACUACGUGCCAGCAGCCGCCGUAAGAC
rnacentral:rRNA from 1 species